GGCGUGAGGGUAGUAAGCCUGAGGAGAGACGGCAGGAACGUUACGCGGGUUCGAUUCCCGCCGCCUCCA
rnacentral:tRNA from 1 species